CUACGGGUUGCUCCAGUGGGGAAUAUUGGACAAUGGGGGAAACCCUGAUCCAGCAAUGCCGCGUGUGUGAAGAAGGCCUGCGGGUUGUAAAGCACUUUCGGUUGGGAGGACUGCUUCUAGCACUAAUAUUGUUGGAAGUUGACGUUACCUUCAGAAGAAGCACCGGCUAACUCCGUGCCAGCAGCCGCGGUAAUACGGAGGGUGCAAGGCGUUAAUCGGAAUUACUGGGCGUAAAGCGCGCGUAGGCGGCUAGAUCAGUCGGGUGUGAAAGCCCCGGGCUUAACCUGGGAACGGCAUCCGAUACUGUCUAGCUUGAGUACAGGAGAGGAGAGUGGAAUUCCACAUGUAGCGGUGAAAUGCGUAGAUAUGUGGAGGAACACCAAUGGCGAAGGCAGCUCUCUGGCCUGAUACUGACGCUGAGGUGCGAAAGCGUGGGGAGCAAACAGGAUUAGAUACCCGAGUAGUC
rnacentral:rRNA from 1 species